rnacentral:rRNA from 1 species
CCUACGGGGGGCAGCAGUGAGGAAUAUUGGUCAAUGGGCUUACGCCUGAACCAGCCAAGUCGCGUGAGGGAAGACUGCCCUAUGGGUUGUAAACCUCUUUUGUCAGGGAGCAACGCCGGCUACGUGUAGCCGGACUGAGAGUACCUGAAGAAAAAGCAUCGGCUAACUCCGUGCCAGCAGCCGCGGUAAUACGGAGGAUGCCAGCGGUAUCCGGAUUUAUUGGGUUUAAAGGGUGCGUAGGCGGAAUGCCAAGUCAGCGGUAAAAUCGCGGGGCUCAACCUCGCUCCGCCGUUGAAACUGGCGUUCUUGAGUGGGCGAGAACUAUGCGGAAUGCGUGGGGGAGCGGGGAA